AAAAAAGGCAAACCUGGGUUUCCGUGUCCAACUUUGACUGUCCGUCUUAUAUGAAAUUUUUUUAUAAUUCGUAUUUUUAUUGUUGUUAGAUGAUAAAACAUGAUUAAUAUUUUAUGCGUGACUUGUCUUUUUAUUUUUUUUCAUAUUUUUUUCAAAUAAGACGGACGGUCAAACGUUAGAUACGGAAACCAGGGUUUGUCUUUUU
rfam:Oryza barthii chromosome 6, whole genome shotgun sequence.